UACGUAGGGUGCGAGCGUUUAAUCGGAAUUACUGGGCGUAAAGCGUGCGCAGGCGGUCUGUUAAGACAGAUGUGAAAUCCCCGGGCUUAACCUGGGAACUGCAUUUGUGACUGGCAGGCUAGAGUAUGGCAGAGGGGGGUAGAAUUCCACGUGUAGCAGUGAAAUGCGUAGAGAUGUGGAGGAAUACCGAUGGCGAAGGCAGCCCCCUGGGCCCAAUACUGACGCUCAUGCACGAAAGCGUGGG
rnacentral:rRNA from 1 species